rnacentral:misc_RNA from 1 species
AAGUCGUAACAAGGUAACCGUAGGUGAACCUGCGGUUGGAUCAUUAAUAAAACUAAUUUGCGGUUUUAAGUAACCGCAAAUUAAUUUAGACCCCUUUGUGAACUGUAAACGUACUUUGGCAGCCCUCCAAAAAUCUUUUUUCUCCUUCCUCUCCCCCUUUACCGGGGGGUGGGAAAAGAAAAAAGACUGGGCUGUCAGUUUAGUUAAACACCUGUUUUAUUAUCUAUAGUAUUAAUGAGCAGCGAAAAGACUCCACUUGUGUGUGGGUUGCUUCAAAGCUACAUUUCUUUAUUGAAAUGAUUUGAAAACAACUUUUGACAACGGAUCUCUUGGCUCUC